AGGAAUGUAGCUCAGUUGGUAGAGUGCUUGCCUAGCAUGCACAAGGUCCUGGGUUCAAUCCCAAGCAUCACCA
rnacentral:tRNA from 1 species